GUGUGCGGAAAUGCUUCUGCUACA
rnacentral:ncRNA from 3 species